GUGGGGAAUAUUGGACAAUGGGCGCAAGCCUGAUCCAGCCAUGCCGCGUGAGUGAUGAAGGCCUUAGGGUUGUAAAGCUCUUUCGCUAGGGAAGAUAAUGACGGUACCUAGAUAAGAAGCCCCGGCUAACUUCGUGCCAGCAGCCGCGGUAAUACGAAGGGGGCUAGCGUUGUUCGGAAUUACUGGGCGUAAAGCGCACGUAGGCGGACUUGUCAGUCAGGGGUGAAAUCCCGAGGCUUAACCUCGGAACUGCCUUUGAUACUGCAAGUCUUGAGGAUGAGAGAGGUGAGUGGAACUGCGAGUGUAGAGGUGAAAUUCGUAGAUAUUCGCAAGAACACCAGUGGCGAAGGCGGCUCACUGGCUCAUUUCUGACGCUGAGGUGCGAAAGCGUGGGGAGCAAACAGGAUUAGAUACCCGUGUAGUCC
rnacentral:rRNA from 1 species